UGACAUGUACAUUGCCUUAUUGUACCAGGUGCUCCAUGUAGGACCCUAUGAGAACCUGUGUAGCCCAGACUUUUUGCCAAAAAGGACAGCUGUAUACUCUGGGCUGCCAUAUAAACAGACAUAACCUGCAGCUUUACCCUUUCCCCCCUUUUUCUUGGAGCCUAGCAACAGUGGAUGGUGUGAUGGAGGACACAGCCCACACCUCUCAUCUGAUUGGCCAAUCCCUAGAGAGAACCCAGAGGAAGGGUGGAGUGAUGGAGAGAUUGGUGUGAGGACUGGGGGGUGCUGUAAGCUGGGACAGCAGAGAGGACAGCAGAACAAGCAGUGGGAUCCUGAGUGAGUUGCAGAGGCUGAGUUCCUGUGUGUCAGUUCCAGAGUAUCCUGUCAGCACUAGUAUCAUUGUGCAAGUCCCAGCAGCAACAGCAAGGAACUCCUCUGGAGAGAGAGGGAGUGAGAUCAGUGAGGUUUCAUCAGUAACAGCUCACUGCCCAUAUAAGAACAGAGGAAGUAGCAGCUACAGAGAAUGCCCUAUCCAUGCAGAGACAGUGCUGUGAAUACAGCAGCCAGAGACAGCACUGAGAGGUAACUCCAUCCUCAGGGAGGAUUCUGUACAAGUAAACAGGCUCCCUGCUCACACACUGUCUACAAACAUUGCAGCUGGCACUACUCCAGGAGUAUAGAACCACUUUUGUCUGUGGCACAGCAUAACUUGUUGCCAGCAAUAGCACAAACUGCCUCCUGUUACAUUAAAUGCCCUAAGUCUUAGUAGAAAGGACAGCACACACAGUGCUGGUGCCACCGAUGCUUAUCUGCCAGGCCUUACAGACCAGUGACAUUGUACAUCAGAUGAACUGUGACAGCCAGGUUACAGUGCAAAGGAGGCCUGAACAGAACUACCCAGAGUGAAUGGGAAAGGCAGUGGAUCAGUUUUCCCUCAGUGUGGCCACAGAGAGGACAGGCCUUUAUUUACACUACAGGGACAUGUCUAAGAAAGACUAAAUAUAUAUAUGCAUAUAUAUCCACGUGUGGACACACUCUAAAGGGGGUUACAGACCUGUGCACAGGCGGAAGAACAUAAGUUGUACUAAUACUUCUGAAUACAUGGGAUACUCAGUAAGGGUAAUCAGAUAAUUGUAACUGGUAACAAACUGUUUUUCUUAUGCAUGCAUAUUUUGAUGGUAACAGCUUGAAUAUUUGAGUUAAGGUUUGAAUAGUAUAAUAAGUCAAUAUAACCAAUUCAGGUAAACGUGCAUAACUGCUGAGAAGGACGGUGAUGGGAUAUGCAACACCUGAAUAAUUAAACAGUCUAUGACAGUAUUGGCAUAAUCUACGGUGUGAAGACCAACUGUUUAUUAUCUGUACUUGAUGAUUUACUGUAACGUAUUACUAUUAUUCAAGUUGUUUGAUUUUCCCACUGCCUUUAAUAAACCGAAGUUGAGUUGACUGCUCCCUGAACAACCCACUUGUGCAGACGUAUAUCCCUUACAUCUCCGAAGUAUCGUGAACGAACUUCCAUCUUAAGUUGGUAUCCCGGUACACAGAUAGUGUAAAGCGGACAUAAUCACCAGGUAAAAGAUCAUCUACUCACCCAAUAACAUUGUCCUUUAUUUGCCCGGGUACCACAUUUGGCGUCAACGAACAGGAUCCGAGUGCAAUCAGGAGAAAACUCACUAAUUGAAAGAUGGAACAACAACAGGCUGCAGGAGGAGGAGCACCACCGGUAGUACAGAACCAGGAACAAGAACAACAGGCAACCCCGGCAACGACACCGAAUGCUCCAAUAACCUUACCCUACUACUUUGGGGCGCCGUGGCUUCCAACCUAUAGCGGAGAUGCCAACAAGCCACAGUGUACCACAUUUACAGAAUUCAAAAAUAAACUCAAAUCUAUGUUCCGGUUGUAUACCUUGAACGAACAGCAGAAAGUCGAGAUUCUGGUAGGUCAACUCACAGGGUCAGCUCUAAGAGAAGUCAUAUCCUGGCCCACUGAAAACAAGAAAGAGGUAGACCAGAUCUUAAAGAGAUUGUCCACUACUUUUGAGACAAAAACCCUCCCCGAGUUAAAAAUGAAGCUGUAUGCGCGCAAACAGCAACCGGGCGAGACCCUCCGAGACUACGCCCUGAGUUUACAAGAAACACUAAGAGCGAUCCAAGCAGUUGACAAAGAUGAAGUCAGAAAUGCAGACGAAGCGCUAACGAUUCAGUUUAUUGAAGGAGCCUCAAGGGAGAGUGUCAAAACCCAACUACGACUACUCAAAAUGCAAAUGCCGGGGAAAACCUUCCUAGACUUCAAGGAAGCCGCCAUCACAAUAACUGGCAACCAAUCGGGAAGAGAAGAAGAGUACCCAGAGCUGGUGGACUUCAGAGAAUCCUCAGAGCUGAUGGGAGCUACUGCUUCCAGUCCCGAAAGACCGAAACGAGUCAGAGAUCCAGUGGUGCAGAGUAGUCAGCACCCCUCAGGAGAUCAGAUACAAACCCUACGCAAGCAGAUGGAAGAGUUAACGGUGGGGAUGGCAGAGAUCCAGAGAGAAAUGCGACUCCUAGCGAGACCACCGACACCCAAUUCUGGAGAACCUAGAUGGAGGUCCGAGCGACAGAGGUCGGCCAGAAGAUGCUGGGAACCACCUCCAGAGUACGGGCGGCGGCCUUCAGACCAGUUCGACAGCCAGGGUCGUCCCGUUUGUCAUCGAUGCCAGGCAAUAGGGCAUAUUGAGAGGAACUGCGACCAGAUCGAACAUUUAAACUCCAAUGCCCCGAGGACGGAGACCGAGCCUCGGGGGACACAAUAAGUUUAAAACCAACCUCUGAAGAAGGAUGGCCACACUAUGGCAGGCAAUGCCAUAUAAAUGCAGAUGAGUUAACCGACAUAUUAAAUACCGACACUCCUGUCCACACAAGGAAAAUUUCAGGAAAGGUCAUCUGGUUUCAUGUGCGACGUGGGUAUGGAUUCAUCAAUCGUGAUGACACCAAGCAAGAUACAUUCAUUCAUUAUACGGCCAUACAGAGGAACAACCCCAGAAAAUACUAUCGCAGCCUGGGAGAGGGAGAGAUGGUGGAAUUUGACAUAAUCAGGGGAGAGAAAGGUCUACGAGCAAUCAACGUCACGGGUCCAGGUGGUGCUCCAGUGAAGGGCAGCAGGUAUGCAGCAGAUCGCAGGCAUUAUUGGUGCCAUCCACACCGUGGAGGUCAUCCACGUCACUACCGAUGCCAUGGAGAUGGAAUGUAUUCCACAGAAAACGUGACAGAAAGUGUAAACCAGAGGCCAUCUGUAUGCAGUCAACAGGAUCCUAAUGCCGAAUCGCAGAGUGCAUUAUUGGGAAGAACAGCUAACCUUGAGAAACCAAGUGGAUAUACGCAACAGAACCUGCAAGAAACUGUUCGGUCGUUUCGGUGUGGACCUACGAUGAUGGAAGACACCAAUUCCAAUACGGCCUACCUCAAUCCGGCUCAUUCAAACGCUACUGAUCAGGACCGGGAAGUAGAAGUAGUGACCCACAAGGCCACAGAGGAAGACUUAGAAUCCUCUAAACCCAAUGCAUCAGAUUCAGUUAUGCUCAUCCCUAAACCUCACCAUCCUGCAAAAACCCAGGGGGAAGCUAAAGAGGCCGUGAAAUGGCUCUUUCCAGAGUUGCAUCGUCCUGACUAUGAGUACACCUCAAUGAGUGGUGAAGAAUUUAUCUCACUGUUGCAGCAGGCAUCGAGAAAGCCAGGGAAGAGGCGCACAGGGGUUCUAGCCCAUUAGUUAUAGACCCUUCUCAUGUCUGAUCUGUAAUGAUUAUACUAAUGUGAUUUUCAAACUUGUUUGCUCUACAGUUACUAAAUGCAUUGAGGUUUAAAACAUAAUUGUUUCAGUACCUGCAACCCAAUGUAUUUCAUGUCAGUAAAAUGUCAAUGUUGUGAAAAAAAAAAUAAUGACUUUAUGACUAUGUGGAGAGACGAAUGCGUGAGGACACGCAUCAUUCAAGCGGGGUUGAGUGUGGUAUCCCCCAGAACUUACAGGACUCAUGCUCCCUUCAACUGACAUGUACAUUGCCUUAUUGUACCAGGUGCUCCAUGUAGGACCCUAUGAGAACCUGUGUAGCCCAGACUUUUUGCCAAAAAGGACAGCUGUAUACUCUGGGCUGCCAUAUAAACAGACAUAACCUGCAGCUUUACCCUUUCCCCCCUUUUUCUUGGAGCCUAGCAACAGUGGAUGGUGUGAUGGAGGACACAGCCCACACCUCUCAUCUGAUUGGCCAAUCCCUAGAGAGAACCCAGAGGAAGGGUGGAGUGAUGGAGAGAUUGGUGUGAGGACUGGGGGGUGCUGUAAGCUGGGACAGCAGAGAGGACAGCAGAACAAGCAGUGGGAUCCUGAGUGAGUUGCAGAGGCUGAGUUCCUGUGUGUCAGUUCCAGAGUAUCCUGUCAGCACUAGUAUCAUUGUGCAAGUCCCAGCAGCAACAGCAAGGAACUCCUCUGGAGAGAGAGGGAGUGAGAUCAGUGAGGUUUCAUCAGUAACAGCUCACUGCCCAUAUAAGAACAGAGGAAGUAGCAGCUACAGAGAAUGCCCUAUCCAUGCAGAGACAGUGCUGUGAAUACAGCAGCCAGAGACAGCACUGAGAGUUGAGUUGACUGCUCCCUGAACAACC